AUGAGGGCAUUCCUUCCCUAGACCAUCCACCACUCAUUUGUUCCUUUCAUUAAUUCAUUUGUUCAACCAAAAUUUAUUGUCGCCACUUAUGUGCUGGGGACACAGAAGUGCGGGAGACAGACUAGGAGCUUAUAAUUGACUGAUGGGGCUGGACAGGUGAUCACUGCACACUGGAAUGUGGGAAGCAUAGGAUACCAUCCGAACACGGGGAAGACCGCUCUCAUUUGCAGAGCCCAAGGAGACUUUCCUGAGGAGAUGGUGACUCAGCCAAGACUUCAAAGAUAAACAGGCUUAAUAUAAACAAAAGAAGCCCUGUUGGAGUUUCUGGAAAGAGCCCAGAGUGGCUCAGAUGUAAUGAGCCCUUAAAAGGCGGCUUGAGCCCAAGCGCCCAUCAAAGCUGGCACAUCUCCUCUGCAGGUUUCCCACCACUGCUUGCGCAUCUCCAGGGCUGACUUCAGUGGGCUCUGCUCCGGCCAUCCGAGGUCCCUGCCCAGCCACGCCAAGUACUGACAGGGGGACUGUGAAGCCAAAAGCUUCGCCUGGUGCCUGGUGCAGAGAAGCAUUAUUUACAAUAGGUAAGAUAUGGAAACAACCUAAGUGUCCAUCUGUGGAUGAACGUAUAAAUAAGAUGUGGUACAUAUAUGCAAUGGAAGGUCAUUCAGCCAUAAAACGAAGGAAAUCCUGCCAUUUGCAACAACAUGGAUGGACCUUGAGGGCAUUACACUGAGCCAACUGGGGACUGACACCGUACUUGCCUCAGCUUCUGCUCAGCCCAGCAAACCCUGACAGGUCCGCCGUGGUUGACAAAGCCUGCUCCAGUCCACAAGCUCAGGUGGCCCCGUUUUACAGAGAAAGAAAUGCAGACGACUCAGGAGCCAAAGGACAUUUCUCGGACCCUACAACUAGUCCAGAGUCACUUCACCUCUCUGAGCCUCAGACUCCUAACUGUCCACUGGGAGUUGCCAUCACCAGAAGGCAGUGCCCAGGAAGUCAGGGACUUUAAUGGGCUGUUUGCUGUAUAUCCCAGGGCCUACAAUGGAAUAAGGUACAUGGUGCUCAAAAGUAUACGUCAGCGUGAUGCUGACACUCCUCCCUUUGAGUGGCAGGGUCUGGGCUCACGCCCCUUGAAUCCUGGCAGGCCUGUGACUAUGUCAGAAGAGACGUGACUUCUGAGGCUGGGUCAGAAAAGUAACAACGUUCUGUCCAGUUCUCUUGAGAUGUCUACCCUUGGAACUCAGUCGCCCUGGUGUGAGGAAGCACAAGUUACACAGAGGCCACGAGCACAUGCUCCAGUCCACAGCCCUGCUGUGGUCCCAGCUGACAGGCAGCCUCAACUGCCUGACAUGCACAUGAGGAAGACUCCAGCCCCAGCCGCCAUAACCGCAUGUGAGGCUCCAAGUGGAACCAGUCAAUCCCCAGAGCUGUGGGAUAUAGUAGUAAAAUGUUGUUU
rnacentral:lncRNA from 1 species